UUUUGCAGAAAACUUGUCUGCAAUAGAAGUCUUCUUCCAACAGGACUCCAAUUUUGUUAUUCUUCUUGUAGGAAGCGAUUUGCAUCCUGAAGAUCUUCUUCUGAUUAUGAAUAAUAAAGCUCCUGCUGCGUCCCUAUCUUCUUGCGGAUAAUUGUGGAUAUCAUAUACAAUAAGAACUCAUCUUAUAGUUAUCCAUAUAUAUUACGCAGCAACCGAACUAAUAAAUCCAAAUUUCAGAUUCUUCAAGGUUAUAAGCUGCUAUCUCUGAUAAGAAUUCGUAGGUUAUCUCCAAGUAAAGACUUCUAACUAUUGUAGGGAACUAGCACUAUAUAUAGAGUGCUAAAGUUCAUAUUUUUNUUUUCUACAAACUCAAGCUUGGAUCGCAGAAAUCCUCUUCCUCUUUCAAUUUUCUUUCGUUGACAGCGUUGGGGUUGAAUCUUGGUGAGUUCUUCUUCCCAUAACUGUAAGAAAUCUGUUUCUGUAGUCUGCCCUCCAUAUGUUCGAUGAAUUGUCUGACAGAAAAAUAAUCAACUUCAAGCUUGUUUUCUAUCGAGUUUUGCUGCGAUUUUUUUUAUUAUUGUUUUUCACAGAUAACUGGAGAUCCAAUAUAUAAUCACUUGACUUUAAAUGAAGUAGAGUGUGGAGAGAAGCAGCGGCGGGAUGGGCUCCUUGUUGCUGCCCUGUUUUGCCGGAGCUGCGCGCGUAGCGACAAUCCCCAGAAGCGGCGGCGGUGCGGCUCUCCUCGCUGGUGCUAUCCAUCGGAGAAUGUGUUGUGCUUCCAGCUAGGGAGACAAAUGCGGAGCUUGGAGGUUAAACUCGCCGGAUUACCAUCAAUGGCGUCGACAUUUAUGCAGCAAUUCGCAAAGAAGAAGACCUUCGGGAAGCGAUCGUCGAAGAAGUAUUUGGAGGAGGCGCUGUACAAGAAGCUGUUCAGCGAUGGCGGUGAUGGAGGAAUUCAGGCUUCGGUUUUGCAGCAGUCAUUGGCUUCUUUUUAGCGGGCGCGGGAGCAGUCGGAACCGGCUUGGAGCACGGAGGGAUGGAGUGGGGUUGUACUCGGUGAGGGAGUUGCUUUGCUUGAUCACAUUCGAGCGUGGAGAGAAGCAGCGGCGGGAGUUCGAGGCAAUCUUUAAUGACUCCUCAAUCAAAUUAUGCAGAUGGAUGAUAGCAGCAACAACACCGAUUAUGGUCAACCAUCUGUUUCUCCAUAUUCUCAAAAUUAUCCUGUGCGGCAUCUAUUUCCUACACUCGUCAAGAUUAUGCUGCGACUUU
rnacentral:lncRNA from 1 species